rnacentral:snRNA from 1 species
ACUCAUACCUGGCAGGGGAAAUACCAUGAUCAUAAAAGUGGUUUUCCCAGGGUAAGGCUCAUCCAUUGCACUUUGGAUGUGCUGAUCCCUGUGAUUUCCCCAAAUAUGGGAAAAUCAACUGCCUAAUUUGUGGUAGUGGGGGACUGUGUUUGUCAUUUCCCCUGA